ensembl:lncRNA
GUAAAAAGUAUUUAUUUAAAAAAAAUACACAAGUAAUAAACUCAAUGGUGAAAGACUGAUGGUUUUCCUGGAACAAGAUAAGAAUGCCAACUUUUGCCGCUUCUAUUUAACAUUGUCCAUAAAUUCUAGGCAGGCCAAUAAAGAAAGAAAAAAGAAAUAAAGGACACCCAACUUGGAAAGAAAGAAAUAAAAUUAUCUCUAUUUCCGGAAGAUAUGAUUUUAUAUAGAGAAAAUCUUGAAGAAUCCACACACCAAAAAAAAUAUAUAUUGGAGCCAAUAAAUGAAUUCAACAAAGCUAUGGAAUAAGAUCAACAUAAUUAUCUGUUAUAUUUUUAAACACUAGCAAUGAACAAUCUGAAAAGGAAAUUAAACAAUUUCAGUUCUAAUACUAUCUAAAAGGACUGAACACUUAUGAGUAAAUUAAAGCAGGGAGGUACAGUAAUGAGUCCUACAAAACAUCACUCAAAGAAAUUAAAGACCUGUGUUCAUGGGUUGAAAGGCUUAGUAGUAUUAUUAACGGGAGCACUCCCUGAGUCAAUCUACAGACUUAGUGCAAUCUCUACCAAACUCUCAGGAGCCUUUCCUUCAGAAAUGGAAAAGCUGAUCCCAAAAUCCAUCUGAAAUUUCAAGGGACUCCAGAUAGCCAAAGUAAUCUUGAAAAAAGAACAAAAUUGGAGAACAUAUACUCCCCAAUUUUAAAACUUAGUACAAAUUCUGAGAGUAAUCAAAGUUUUGUGGUGUUGGCAUAAGGAUAGGCAUAUAGAUCAAUGAAAUAGAACUAAGAGCUCAGAAAUAAACUCAUACAUCUUUGGGCAAUGGAUUUUUGGUAAAUUGGCAAAACCAAUUAAUGAGGAAUUAAUCAUCUUUUCAACAAAUGGCGUGGUGACAACUGAUGGCCACAUACAAUGGGCCCACAUGAAUGAAUCUCGACACUUACCUUACAUCAUAUACAUAAUUAAGUUAAAAAAUCAUCAAAACUUAAACAUAAGAGCUAAAACUAUAAAACUCUUAGAAGAAAAUAGUAGUAAAUCUUCAUAACCUAAAAUUCAACACUGGAUUCUUAGAUAUGACACCAAAAAUAACAACAAAAGAAAAAAGCAAUUAAAAUUUAUCAAAAUGUAAAACUUCUAUGCACCAAAGGACACUGUAAAGAGUAAAAUGACAACCCAGAGACUUGGAGGAAAAUAUUUUUAAUCAUAUAUCUAGGAACUGUUUACUGUCCAGAAUAUACCAAAAACUCUUACAGGUCAACAACAAAAGGAUAACCAAAUUUUAAAAAUGACCAAAUGGCUUGAAUAGACAUUUCUUCAAAGAAGAUAAAUUACCAACAGACACUUGAAAAUAUGCUCAAUAUAAUUAAUCACUGCUGCUAAGUCGCUUCCGUCGUGUCCGACUCUGUGCAACCCCAGAGACGGCAGCCCACCAGGCUCCCCUGUCCCUGGGAUUCUCCAGGCAAGAACCCUGGAGUGGGUUGCCAUUGCCUUCUCCAAUGCGUGAAAGUGAAAAGUGAAAGUGAAGUCACUCAGUCGUGUCCAACUCCUAGCGACCCCAUGGACUGCAGCCUACCAGGCUCCUCUGUCCAUGGGAUUUUCCAGGCAAGAGUGCUGGAGUGGGGUGCCACUGCCUUCUCCAAUUAAUCACUAGGGAAAUGCGAAUCAAAAUCACAAGUUACCACUUUACACUUACUGUAGGAAAUAACUGGGCUUCCCUGGUGGGUCAGUGUUAAAGAAUCCUCCUGUAGUGCAAGUGACACGUUUGGGCUCUUCAGUUGGACAUGACUAAAGUGGCUGAGCGCACAGGCAGGCACACAGAAAAUAACAACAUCAGUGAAGCUGUGGAGAGACUGGAACCAUCAUACAUUGUCAGUGGUAAUCCAAAUUGUGCCACCAAUACGGAAAAUGGCUUAAGGGUUCCUCUUUAAGUUAAACACUGAAUUACCAUAUGGGCCAGCAAUUCCACUCCUAGAUAUGUAUCCAAAGGAACUGAAAUCAAAUGUUCAAACACUUGUAUACACGUAUUCACAGCAGCACUACUCACAACAGCCAAAAGGUGAAGAUAACUUUGUGUAUAUUUUACAACAAUUUAAAAAAAAACAAAAAAAAAUGCCAACUGGUCCAGUGUGUGUGUGUGCACGCACGCAUGCUCAGUCAUGCCCAGCUCUUUAUAAUCCCAUGGACUGUAGCCUGCCAGGUUUCUCUGUCCAUGGGAUUUCCCAGGCAAGAACACUGGAGUGGGGUGCCAGUUCCUUCUCAAGGGGAUCUUUCUGAUACAGGGACUAAACCCACAUCUCCUGCAUUGGCAGGUAGAUUCUCUACCACUGAGACACCUGGGAAACCCUCAACAAGUCUUAGUUGUACAUUAAAUAUAAGAAAAAGGAAAAUGGAAGGUAUGAAGAGGUCUGUCAGAUUUCCAGUUGUCUCAACUUGAUGGAAGACGUCUGUGGCAUUUUAAAACCAUGACUGCAAAAUUUGUUCACUCUCCCUGUCAUUGAUAGGUGGGGCCUUUGACCCCUUCAUUUGAAUCUGGGCUCUGUGAUUGUUCGAUAAAAUACAGAAGUGAUGCUGUGGAUGCCGUGCCAGUUUCCAGGCACAGAUAUUAAGAAACAGUCAGUUUCCGCUUCCUGCUCCUUGGGUCACUUGGUCUUGGAACGUGGACUCCAUGCUGUGAGGAAGUAAAAUCUGCUCCCUGAAGAAACUCAAGGACAAGAACUGAAAGCCAACUGCAACUUGCCAGCCAGGGGAAGAGCCGUCUCGAAAGUGAGUCUUCCAGCCCCAGUAGAGCCAUCUGAGCUGGGAUCACAUGGAAGAGAGACAAGAUGUCCCCAUGGAACCUGGCCCAGACUACCGAGCUAUAAGCAAACAAACAAAUAAAACUGCUGUUAUUCUGAGCCACUAAGUUCUGUUACAAAGCAAAUCGGGGCGUGAUUUGGAGACAGAAUAGCUACCACGGCUCCCCCAAGGAGGCAUCUCUAUUUAGUACUUCACUGUUAGUUUCUCUUGGGCCUCCCUGGGGGCUCAGAUGGUAAAGAAUCCACCUGCAAGGCCAGGGACCUGGGUUCGAUCCCUGGGUUGGGAAGAUCCUGGGAGGAGGGCAUUGCAAUCUGCUUCAGCAUUCUUGUCCAGAGGAUCCCAUGAACAGAGGAGGCUGGCAGGAUACAGUCCCUAGCGUGGCAGAGCCGGACAUGACUGACACUAAGCACGGCACGUUAGUUUCUCUUUCUCUCUUCGCUCCUUUUGUCCUCUUUUACCCUCGUAUGUAGUCCUUUGAUAGCACUUUAUUAUUUGCAAAUUUCAUUCACAUUGCCUGCCACCUUGUUCCUUUGCCUAUGAUGGCAGUCAUUCCAUGGCCAGAAGCAGUGUUCACUCAAGGCUCCUAUAGAGACCCUCUUUUAUCCUAGGUCCUGGUCACCCAAUACGGCACCCAUGAAGCAAACCCCUGAUGCCUCUGGGUGGAAGAAAACUUUUUUUUCAAAAGACUGUUCCAAUUAAAGAACUCUUCUACAUGUCAGGCAGGAUCUAAUCACUAGCAUUUCCUCCACUGCAGCUCAGAGUCAAGAAGAAUGAAUGGCUGAGGAUGGGUUCCCCAGAAGCAGACUGUAACAUAAAGAUUGGUGUGCAGACACAUUUGAAAGAACUCCCAGGAGAAAACCACACAGGACGGGACAAGCAGGGAAGAUGCCGGGCAGGGGUGCAGUCUCAGGCUAAACCCACAGAAGAUGGCCCCCAGCCUGCUCCUGCAGGGCAAUUCUACAGAGUAAAUGCCAUCUCAGGGUCAUCCCGAAGGCAGCAACGAAACUGAGCUCUCACCAUUGAGUGAGGCCCUCCCAGCCCAGGAUCCGCCCUGACCCAGGGUGUUCCUCGGCUGCUCCCUCUCAGCUCUCCUCCUGUGGCUGCACGUGAAUCCUUAUUUUCUUGAUUCACCAUCUGUGUUGCUUUUUAGUUGGG